UACGUGAGGGUGCAAGCGUUAUCCGGAAUUAUUGGGCGUAAAGAGCUCGUAGGCGGUUUGUCGCGUCUGCUGUGAAAACUGGAGGCUCAACCUCCAGCCUGCAGUGGGUACGGGCAAACUAGAGUGCGGUAGGGGAGAUUGGGAAUUCCUGGUGUAGCGGUGGAAUGCGCAGGAUAUCAGGAGGAACACCGAUGGCGAAGGCAGAUCUCUGGGCCGUAACUGGACGCUGAGGAGCGAAAGCAUGGGGAGCGAACAGG
rnacentral:rRNA from 1 species